rnacentral:rRNA from 1 species
UACGAAGGGGGCUAGCGUUGCUCGGAAUCACGGGGGGUAAAGGGUGCGUAGGCGGGUCUUUAAGUCAGGGGUGAAAUCCUGGAGCUCAACUCCAGAACUGCCUUUGAUACUGAGGAUCUUGAGUUCGGGAGAGGUGAGUGGAACUGCGAGUGUAGAGGUGAAAUUCGUAGAUAUUCGCAAGAACACCAGUGGCGAAGGCGGCUCACUGGCCCGAUACUGACGCUGAGGCGCGAAAGCGUGGGGAGCAAACAGG